UAGCACUGUCUUUUAACCUUUGUAGCCUUGCUGUGGCUUCUUGGGCCAAGCAACAACGCCAGAGCAAGUGAGGCUUGUUAUAACUGGGGCUUCAUGGCAUCUCCUCCAAGUAGCUCUUUUAAAAACAUCUACAUUC
ensembl:snoRNA